rnacentral:rRNA from 1 species
UACGUAGGGUGCGAGCGUUGCCCGGAUUUAUUGGGCGUAAAGGGCGCGCAGGCGGCCACGCACGUCCGUUGUGAAAUCGCUCGGCUCAACUGGGCGGGGUCAGCGGAUACGGCGUGGCUGGAGCAAGCUAGGGGGCAAUGGAAUUCCCGGUGUAGUGGUGGAAUGCGUAGAUAUCGGGAGGAACACCAGUGGCGAAGGCGGUUGCCUGGAGCUUUGCUGACGCUGAGGCGCGAAAGCGUGGGGAGCGAGCCGG